rnacentral:rRNA from 1 species
GACGAACCGUGCGAACGUUAUUCGGAAUCACUGGGCUUAAAGCGCGUGUAGGCGGGCCGUCCCGUCGGUCGCUGAAAUCCCCCGGCUCAACCGGGGAAGUGGCGCCGAUACGAGCGGCCUGGAGGGGAGUAGGGGGGCCUGGAACUUCCGGUGGAGCGGUGAAAUGCGUUGAGAUCGGAAGGAACGCCCGUGGCGAAAGCGAGGCCCUGGACUCUUUCUGACGCUGAGACGCGAAAGCCAGGGGAGCGAACGGG